AAAGCUGGAUACUCUUGCCCAAUCACAUAAUGCCUGGUCUUGGCCAAUCAGAGCUCGGCCCCGCCUCUAUCGGGAGUGACGGACACUCACGGAAGGACCCGAGGACAACCGAUGUCACGGCGUACGGAGCUACCCCACAGCAGCCGCAAGGGGGAGCAGGUGCGAAGCGGCGGAAUCGCUUCUCGGCGCGCCUUGAUAUCGCAGCCAUCGCACUCGAGAGGAGCCUUCUCUGUCUGGCCGGCGCAUGUUCGCUGGAUGCGUCCUGCCACCGCCAGCUCUGAGCCCCCGCCCGGGGCACAGGGACACGUCCUCACAAACACACACAGCAAGACAGAAACGCAGCCGAGCUCGCACUGCAUAGACCAGCCUGCCAGCAAACAGACACAGCGCAAUGCUAGGAAACGGCAUCGUCUCUGCCCCAGCAUCCCUGUGCGUCACAUAGUUAUGACGUUAUUAGAUGUCCCGACAUUCUGUUAACACGAGAGUUGUCAAUUGUCUAAUCCCUGAAAACCCAACACCCGGCCCCUGUCCGUCCCCUCCCCCCAAUCACUUCCUCUCCGCCCCCUCCCCCUCCACCCACCUGCCUCCUGCACAGCCGGGCUGGGAGGAGCUGACAUGGAGCCUGCUCAAUUGGGGAUGGCAGGGCUGGGUGUGGCCCUGCCUGUGUGCUUGACUGGAAGCAGCUGAUGAGCCUAGCCCAGCAAGGCCGGGCUGGCAGAAUAGGCUGACUCAGUGGCAUCCCAGCACAUCAGGUGAUGACAAAGUAGAAGCAGAGCUGUAGAAAGAAUAGCCUAGCCCCCUCUACCACUAGGAUGGGUAGGUGGCCCCAAUUAAGUGUAUUUUUCUGACUUGGAACUAUGAUUGUCCUGAACAAAGAAAAAGAAGAAAAGAAAUACUAAUAAUGGGCAUUAGAUUUUACACUGCUUAGCUAAGGACUGACCCAUAAGAGCUGCUACAGAUCUAAAUGGAAGGACUUGGAUUUACUUGGAAUCCUGU